rnacentral:rRNA from 1 species
UACGAAGGGGGCUAGCGUUGCUCGGAAUCACUGGGCGUAAAGGGUGCGUAGGCGGGUUUUAAGUCAGAGGUGAAAUCCUGGAGCUCAACUCCAGAACUGCCUUUGAUACUGAAAGUCUUGAGUAUGGGAGAGGUGAGUGGAACUGCGAGUGUAGAGGUGAAAUUCGUAGAUAUUCGCAAGAACACCAGUGGCGAAGGCGGCUCACUGGCCCUAACUGACGCUGAGGCACGAAAGCGUGGGGAGCAAACAGGG